ACGGAAGGCAGCAGUAGGGAAUCUUCGGCAAUGGGGGCAACCCUGACCGAGCAACGUCGCGUGAGUGAAGAAGGCUUUCGGAUCGUAAAGCUCUGUUGUAAGAGAAGAACGUGUGGGAGAGUGGAAAGUUCACACAGUGACGGUAACUUACCAGAACGGGACGGUUAACUACGUGCCAGCAGCCGCGGUAAUACGUAGGUCCCGAGCGCUGUCCGGAUUUAUUGGGCGUAAAGGGAGCGCAGGCGGUUUAAUAAGUCUGAAGUAAAAGGCAGUGGCUUAACCAUUGUUCGCUUUGGAAACUGUUUGACUUGAGUGCAGGAGGGGAGGGUGGAAUUCCAUGUGUAGCGGUGAAAUGCGUAGAUAUAUGGAGGAACUCCGGUGGCGAAGGCGGCUCUCUGGUCUGUAACUGACGCUGAGGCUCGAAAGCGUGGGGAGCAAACAGGAUUAGAUACCCUGGUA
rnacentral:rRNA from 1 species